rnacentral:rRNA from 1 species
CGUUGGUGAACCCGGGAGGGAUCAUUACCGAGUUUACAACUCCCAAACCCAAUGUGAACCAUACCAAACUGUUGCCUCGGCGGGGUCACGCCCCGGGUGCGUCGCAGCCCCGGAACCAGGCGCCCGCCGGAGGGACCAACCAAACUCUUUCUGUAGUCCCCUCGCGGACGUUAUUUCUUACAGCUCUGAGCAAAAAUUCAAAAUGAAUCAAAACUUUCAACAACGGAUCUCUUGGUUCUGGCAUCGAUGAAGAACGCAGCGAAAUGCGAUAAGUAAUGUGAAUUGCAGAAUUCAGUGAAUCAUCGAAUCUUUGAACGCACAUUGCGCCCGCCAGUAUUCUGGCGGGCAUGCCUGUCCGAGCGUCAUUUCAACCCUCGAACCCCUCCGGGGGGUCGGCGUUGGGGAUCGGGAACCCCUAAGACGGGAUCCCGGCCCCGAAAUACAGUGGCGGUCUCGCCGCAGCCUCUCCUGCGCAGUAGUUUGCACAACUCGCACCGGGAGCGCGGCGCGUCCACGUCCGUAAAACACCCAACUUCUGAAAUGUUGACCUCGGAUCAGGA